rnacentral:rRNA from 1 species
UACCUGCAGCCCAAGUGGUGGCCGCUAUUAUUGGGCCUAAAACGUCCGUAGCCGGUUCUAUAAAUGCCUGGGUAAAUCGUACGACUUAACCGUACGAAUUCCGGGUAGACUGUUCAACUUGAGACCGGGAGAGGCUAGAGGUACUCCUGGGGUAGAGGUGAAAUUCUGUAAUCCUAGGGGGACCACCAGUGGCGAAGGCGUCUAGCUAGAACGGGUCUGACGGUGAGGGACGAAGCCCUGGGAAGCAAACGGGAUUAGAUACCCCGGUAGUCCAGGGUGUAAACGCUGCUCGCUUGAUGUUAGUCGGGCUCCGAGCCCAACUAGUGUCGGAGAGAAGUUGUUAAGCGAGCUGCCUGGGAAGUACGGUCGCAAGACUGAAACUUAAGGAAUUGGCGGGGAGCACCGCAACGGGUGGAGCGUGCGGUUU